UACAGAGGUCUCAACCGUUGUUCGGAUUCAUUGGGCGUAAAGGGUGCGUAGGCGGUCUGGCAAGUCGGAUGUGAAAUCUCAGGGCUCAACCCUGAAACUGCAUUCGAUACUGCCUGGCUAGGGUACUGGAGAGGAGACUGGAAUUUACGGUGUAGCAGUGAAAUGCGUAGAUAUCGUAAGGAAGACCAGUGGCGAAGGCGAGUCUCUGGACAGUUACCGACGCUGAGGCACGAAGGUCAGGGGAGCAAACGGG
rnacentral:rRNA from 1 species